rnacentral:rRNA from 1 species
AUUGAACGCUGGCGGCAGGCCUAACACAUGCAAGUCGAGCGAGCGGCGGACGGGUGAGUAAUGUCUGGGAAACUGCCUGAUGGAGGGGGAUAACUACUGGAAACGGUAGCUAAUACCGCAUACCAUCAGAUGUGCCCAGAUGGGAUUAGCUAGUAGGUGGGGUAACGGCUCACCUAGGCGACGAUCCCUAGCUGGUCUGAGAGGAUGACCAGCCACACUGGGAACGGGACACGGGCCCUACUCCUACGGGAGGCAGCAGUGGGGGAGAUUGCACAAUGGGCGCAAGCCUGAUUCAACCAUUGCGCGGGUGUGAAGAAGGGCCUCGGGUUGGAAAACACUUUCCGGGGGGGGGCGUUACCCGCAAAAGAAAGCACGGCUUACUCCGUGCCAGCAGCCGCGGUAAUAC